rnacentral:tRNA from 2 species
GCGCCUGUAGCUCAGUUGGAUAGAGCAUCCCCCUUCUAAGGGGAUGGUCGGGGGUUCGAAUCCCUCCAGGCGUG